UACGAGGUGCACAAACGUUAUUCGGAUUUACUGGGCUUAAAGCGUGCGUAGGCGGCCUGGCAAGUUGGGUGUGAAAUCCCUCGGCUCAACCGAGGAAUUGCGCCCAAAACUGCUGGGCUAGAGUGAGACAGAGGUGAGCGGAACUGAUGGUGGAGCGGUGAAAUGCGUUGAUAUCAUCAGGAACACCGGUGGCGAAGGCGGCUCACUGGGUCUCUACUGACGCUGAGGCACGAAAGCUAGGGGAGCAAACGGG
rnacentral:rRNA from 1 species